rnacentral:lncRNA from 1 species
UCUCCCCCAUCAGUCAACAACACAUACUCAUGAGUAGGAUAUCUAGUAGAAGCAUGUCUCUCCCUACUAGAUCUCCUCAAAGGUGCUGGCUCUAUAAGUUUCUCUUCAUCAAGCUGCUCAGGGACUGCUUCAUCAGCUGCAGGAGACUCAUCAGGUGUAGGCGUAACUUCAACAAAAAUCUCAGCAUCUAUUGGCUCGUAGUGAUCUCCCUGUAUCUCCCUUCUGUUAACUGCAGGUGAAGA